GCCCGCCUGGCGGAACGGUAGACGCAGCGGACUUAAAAUCCGCAGAGCAAGGCUCAUUCGGGUUCGAGUCCCGAGGCGGGCA
rnacentral:tRNA from 1 species